GAAAAUCCUUUAACUUCUUGCAGAAUGGCCUUGGCCAUUCCAGUGUAAAGCUUAUAAGAACUAAGAAGUUUCCAGAACCCACUGUUCCCUGCUUCCAUCCUAACCUGGAGAGUGUUGCAAGUGAGAGUAUGAAUUCCUGCUGCUUAUCCCCACAGCAAAGCAACUGCUCCUUGGAUAAUGCCUCACAGAAGUAGGAGCCUGGAACUCUGUGCACAAAUAAGAGAAAUCUGCUUUCUAUGCUCUUCUACUUAGAAGUAAUAAAAAAGAAAGAAGAAUCUUCUGGCACUUUGUAAAAGAGAAUAGAAGCAAUUAGCUUUUACUUAGAGAUGUUCUUUUUGAAAGAAGUACUGAAAAAAUCUCUCUGCACUGGAAUAGGACACAUGGAAUUUACUGUAACGCUGGAAGCUGGAUCACCAUGAUGAUAGUUAUUAAUGGAAGUGGCAGUGAUCAGACGAUGAGGUCAUUACCUCUUCCUUCAAGAGUGCAGACCUUGAGGACAGUGCUGGGAUGAUAUUUCAUUAUGCUUUCCUGGUAUUUGAGCAUUUCUGUAAACUAAUGUUUGGUUCCCUCUUUUCCAAGAACCAGCUGUAAGAUACUGGGUCAAAUCGUUUCAAACUUGUUUGUUUGUGUAUGGUGGGGGCAGAGGGAGAGAGAGAGAAUCCCAAGCAGACU